rnacentral:rRNA from 1 species
AGGGAGGUAGUGACAAUAAAUAACAAUGCCGGGCUUCUACAAGUCUGGCAAUUGGAAUGAGAGAGACUUAAAUCCAUCAUCGAGGAUCAAUUGGAGGGCAAGUCUGGUGCCAGCAGCCGCGGUAAUUCCAGCUCCAAUAGCGUAUAUUAAAGUUGCUGCAGUUAAAAAGCUCGUAGUUGGAUUUGUGGCGCGGUCGUCCGGCGGGGCUUCCGGUUUCAUAGUAUCCCGGGGCCGUUUGUCUGGGUUUUUGGCCGCCCCAUUCUUCGGUUGCGUGUCGCUGGCAUUAGGUUGUCGGCUUCUUCGCGCCGAUCGUUUACUGUGAAAAAAUUAGAGUGUUCAAAGCAGGCUUAGGCCGUUGGAUACAUUAGCAUGGAAUAAUGAGAUAGGGCCACGGCGGUCUAUUUUGUUGGUUUGCACGUUGUGGUAAUGAUUAACAGGAACGGUUGGGGGUAUUCGUAUUCAAUUGUCAGAGGUGAAAUUCUUGGAUUUAUGGAAGACGAACUACUGCGAAAGCAUUUACCAAGGAUGUUUUCAUUAAUCAAGAACGAAAGUUAGGGGAUCGAAGAUGAUUAGAUACCAUCGUAGUCUUAACCAUAAACUAUGCCGACUAGGGAUUGGCGGUCGUUAACUUACAGGACUCCAUCAGCACCUUCCGAGAAAUCAAAGUCUUUGGGUUCCGGGGGGAGUAUGGUCGCAAGGCUGAAAUCCAU